AAAGCUGAGCAUUCGCCCUCCUUUUUGCGGCAUAAGAAAAUUUAUUUUGAUCCGAUGGCGGUUUCCUCUGCUAAUUGUAAGGGGAAGAAAAUAUAUCCGUUUCACCAAGUUUGUUUAAUUAACUGGGAAGUUCGGCGGCCUGAGAGGGAACUUUAUCUGUCCCUUGUUUGAAGGAUGUUUACUUCUGUAUUGGCUUGGCUAGACUUCGUUAUUGAGGCAAAGGUAAGACCAGAACAGGGGACAGGGGUGGAGGAGUCGGCACAGACAGAGAGAGUUGAAAGAAAAUGAAGAAUAACCCGAUGUAUUCAAGGGAAAUGAAAAUAUCAAUGACAGUACUUCUCCAUGAUAGCUCUGAAUGAACUAUCCUGCAGAAGCUGGGUAGCGGUUGGCCACUUCUCGGGAUG
rnacentral:sRNA from 1 species